rnacentral:misc_RNA from 2 species
AACGCACCUUGCGCUCCUUGGUAUUCCGAGGAGCAUGCCUGUUUGAGUGUCUUGAAGUCAUCAACCCCGACCGUUUUUGCAACGGGCGUGGGCUUGGAGCUGGGGGACUUUUGCCGCCGCAAGGCCGGCUCCCCUCAAAUGCGUCGGUUGGGCCUGCUGGUCAAACUCGACUGGGCGUUGUACCAUCCUCGCUCCAUCGAGACAGAUCGGCGACCGUGCCCCGCUUGGACCGCCUCUUCUUCAGGGUGGUGGUCAAUAAGCAUUUUUGAAAUCUGACCUCAAAUCAGGUAGGACUACCCGCUGAACUUAA